CUCUAUUUGGGCAGUCAGGAUCAGUAGAUCUUUUACUAGGGCAUAAAUAUUUGUUGUUGAACAAAGAUUACCACAUACAUUCCAAGGUUUUACACUACCCGAAAUCGCCUUACAUGCAUCAAAGAAUAGAAUACCCGUAGAAUGUAUGGUGCUUAUCAAAGUCCUAUUUAUCAAUGUCCCCUGAGAGUUACUAUUUCGAAUUACCAACCAAAUUGUACAGGGUUGGAAUUGGGGAUCGAAACACUUAGGCUCACCUGAUAUCGGAUGACACACACUAUAAUCAGUAUCUAAGUACCUACACCUAGACACAGAUCCCUUACAUUCAUAUUGUUGUGAGUGCCAAAUUAGGGUCUAGAAUAUCUGGU